AUUGAACGCUGGCGGCAGGCCUAACACAUGCGAGUCGAACGGUAACAGGAAGCAGCUUGCUGCUUCGCUGACGAGUGGCGGACGGGUGAGUAAUGUCUGGGAAGCUGCCUGAUGGAGGGGGAUAACUACUGGAAACGGUAGCUAAUACCGCAUAAUGUCGCAAGACCAAAGAGGGGGACCUUCGGGCCUCUUGCCAUCGGAUGUGCCCAGAUGGGAUUAGCUUGUUGGUGGGGUAACGGCCCACCAAGGCGACGAUCCCUAGCUGGUCUGAGAGGAUGACCAGCCACACUGGAACUGAGACACGGUCCAGACUCCUACGGGAGGCAGCAGUGGGGAAUAUUGCACAAUGGGCGCAAGCCUGAUGCAGCCAUGCCGCGUGUAUGAAGAAGGCCUUCGGGUUGUAAAGUACUUUCAGCGGGGAGGAAGGGAGUAAAGUUAAUACCUUUGCUCAUUGACGUUACCCGCAGAAGAAGCACCGGCUAACUCCGUG
rnacentral:rRNA from 1 species